CAUGUCUUUUUGAUUAUAAUUUAAAGUCUAACCUGCCCAAUGAAUAUUUAAAUGGCCGCAGUAUUUUGACUGUGCAAAGGUAGCAUAAUAAUUAGUUUUUUAAUUGAGAACUGGUAUGAAUGGUUGAACGAGAAAAAUACUGUCUCAAUUUAAUUUAAAUUAGAAUUUUAUUUUUAAGUAAAAAAGCUUAAAUAUUUUUGAAAGACGAGAAGACCCUAUAGAGUUUUAUAUAAAUUAAUAUUUUUAAAAAUUAAAGUAUUUUAAAUUUAAUUAUAUUAAUUUUUAUUUAGUUGGGGUGAUUAAAAAAUUUAAAUAACUUUUUUUAAAUUUAAAACAUUAAUUUAUGAGUUAUUGAUCCAUAUUAAUUAUGAUUAUAAGAUUAAAUUACCUUAGGGAUAACAGCGUAAUUUUUUUUAAGAGUUCUUAUCGAAAAAAAAGUUUGCGACC
rnacentral:rRNA from 1 species